UGGGGAAUUUUGCGCAAUGGGGGAAACCCUGACGCAGCAACGCCGCGUGAGUGAUGAAGGCCUUCGGGUCGUAAAGCUCUGUCAGAGGGGAAGAAGUGUGAGGUGGCUAAUAUCCAUUUCACUUGACGGUACCUUCAAAGGAAGCACCGGCUAACUCCGUGCCAGCAGCCGCGGUAAUACGGAGGGUGCGAGCGUUGUUCGGAAUUAUUGGGCGUAAAGCGCGUGUAGGCGGUUUUUUAAGUCUGAUGUGAAAGCCCUGGGCUCAACCCGGGAAGUGCAUUGGAAACUGGGAGACUUGAAUACGGGAGAGGGCAGUGGAAUUCCUGGUGUAGGAGUGAAAUCCGUAGAUAUCAGGAGGAACACCGGUGGCGAAGGCGGCUGCCUGGACCGAUAUUGACGCUG
rnacentral:rRNA from 1 species